rnacentral:tRNA from 4 species
CGGGAUAGCUCAGCAGGUAAAGCAAAGGACUGAAAAUCCUCGUGUC